AUGUCCUCUUGUUAAUACUUUGAGGUCUUGCCUGCUCACUGAGCGUAUUUUUAAAGAGCCGCGGUAUUUUGACCGUGCAAAGGUAGCAUAAUCAUUAGUCUCUUAAUUAGUGGCUGGAAUGAAUGGCUUGACGAGAAAUCAACUGUCUCUUAAUAAAUUUUUGAAUUUAACUUUUGAGUCAAAAGGCUUAAAUUCUUCUUUAGGACGAGGAGACCCUAUAGAGCUUGACAUUUUACUUUUAUAUAGUUUUUUGUUUGUCUUUCUAUAUUUAAUGAUGAUGUUUUGUUGGGGUGACAUGAAGAAUAGAUAAACUCUUCAUUAUUAUAUCAUUUAUUUAUGUUUGUUAUUUUGAUCCAUAAUUUAUGAUCAUAAGAGUAAGUUACCUUAGGGAUAACAGCGUAAUUGUUUUUGGGAGCUCA